rnacentral:sRNA from 1 species
CAUACCUUCGGGUGCGCAAGUUCGAAUCUUGUCCGUGUCGAAUUUUUUUAUUUUUAUUUAUUUAUUUAUUUUUUUUUUUACCUCACCUUCUCUUCCCCACAGGAUAGAUAUGAGACAACUUCUGUAUGAUAUGAUGUACAGUAUAAUGUUAGCAUUAAAACUUUGUAGUGUGCUACUACUACUCCUACUUUUGAGCGCAGGUAACAAGCAAAAUGACACUAUGGUAGUGAGGUACCACACUUUCUAUUGGAAAUUUUCAUCGUCAUCCUCACAUAGGAGUAACCUCCAAAAGGCAAGAACCCAUGGAAAAACAAGACAAAAG